rnacentral:rRNA from 1 species
GUACUGUACGAAUAAGCACCGGCUAACUCCGUGCCAGCAGCCGCGGUAAUACGGAGGGUGCGAGCGUUAUCCGGAUUUAUUGGGUUUAAAGGGUCCGUAGGCGGGCCUGUAAGUCAGUGGUGAAAUCUCAUAGCUUAACUAUGAAACUGCCAUUGAUACUGCAGGCCUUGAGUAAAUUUGAAGUGGCUGGAAUAAGUAGUGUAGCGGUGAAAUGCAUAGAUAUUACUUAGAACACCGAUUGCGAAGGCAGGUCACUAAGAUUUAACUGACGCUGAUGGACGAAAGCGUGGGGAGCGAACAGGAUUAGAUACCCUGGUAGUCCACGCCGUAAACGAUGCUAACUCGUUUUUGGAUCUUCGGGUUCAGAGACCAAGCGAAAGU